rnacentral:lncRNA from 1 species
CGCAUGCGAGGAUGGAGGUCCCCGCUGGUCAAAACAGAGCACCAUCUGUUUUUGUUGACUGGCGUCGAGUCGACCUGGUCGAGGAUGAUGCCCAAGUAAGUGCGAAUUGCCAAGGGGCUGAUUCCUCGUAGCAUUUAGUGUGUGCGGGGACAGAAUAGGAAAUAAGGCACCUUGUCCUUGCCGAUCUUGUGUUCUAUUUCUAUUCCUCUUCAUCUCGUUCUUGGUUUUCUACUGGAAGCUAAAGGCUCCAGGAUAGAAUCACAAAGACAUGCAUCCAGAAUGGAGUUGAAGAUAACUCAUGUGCAUGAAAACUACAAUCGGUCAUUAGAUGAUCAGUUCCUCAAUUAGUCAUGGAAAGGAAUAAAUCAAAUUCAAUUUCUUAAUCAAUUUCUCCUAUGCAGGAGCAUGCAUCGCAUGCCAAGACAUGCUGAGACGCGUCCCCGCAGCUCUUGGCACCGAUGAUGUCCGGGAACGGUUGCCAACGCCUUGGCCGGUGGUCGCUGGAGACGCUGAAAAGAAAAAAAACAAGUUCAAAGGUAUCCUUGUGCCCCAUCUCCAUCCAACGGAAAAGGCCACGGACGACGCGCUUUUGCGAGCCAGCGGUUGCCGCGUCGGGCGCACGGAGGAAAAUGUCGAGGCCGGGCGGCCACAGGCACGACCAGGCAUGGACAGACGGGGCCGGCCACAGUCGGGCGCGGACGCCGAGGCCACGGC